UGGUGUCCAUAUCACGUUGAAACACCGGCUCCCGUUCGAUAACAACAGUAAAGCAACGUUGUGUUUGGCCAGUACUUAGAUGGAGGAUCACUUGGGAAUAUCAGGUAGUGUA